rnacentral:rRNA from 1 species
UACGGAGGAUGCAAGCGUUAUCCGGAAUGAUUAGGCGUAAAGCGUCCGCAGGUGGCUAUGUAAGUCUGCUGUUAAAGAGUGAGGCUCAACCUCAUAAGAGCAGUGGAAACUACAUGGCUAGAGUGCGUUCGGGGCAGAGGGAAUUCCUGGUGUAGCGGUGAAAUGCGUAGAGAUCAGGAAGAACACCGGUGGCGAAAGCGCUCUGCUAGGCCGCAACUGACACUCAUGGACGAAAGCUAGGGGAGCGAAUGGG